CUUGCACGAACCGCAACGAUUUGUACACAAUAAUACACACACACACGCUCACACAGAAACACGAUUAUGUGCAUAGUUCGUUGAAGUUUCAAUAAUAUUUCACCGCGUAUUGCACGUGUAGUAUAAUUUUAGCAAAGAAAAAAGGGUGCACUAGAAACCUGGAGGAGGGAGGCAUGUUCGUCACGUUGGUCAUUCGAAGGGGGUUGUGAGCUAGAGCUGGAAAUUAUCCAAUAUUCGCUUCGAUUCGAUGCUUCCGCCACUAUCGAUGGUUGCUGUUCAGCUCUGGGAACCAAGAAAAACAAAAGGGAGAAUUGUUUUUGAUUUUAUUUACUAUUAUUUGUAAUAAUUAAUUUUGUGCAAAUAUACGAUUUCACUGAUGGUGUUGGCA